rnacentral:rRNA from 1 species
UACGGGGGGGGCAAGCGUUGUUCGGAAUUACUGGGCGUAAAGGGCGCGUAGGCGGUUCGCUAAGUUGAAUGUGAAAACUCUGGGCUUAACCCAGAGCCUGCAUUCAAUACUGGCGGGCUAGAGUUCUGGAGGGGAUAGCGGAAUUCCUGGUGUAGCGGUGAAAUACGUAGAUAUCAGGAGGAACACCGGUGGCGAAGGCGGCUAUCUGGACAGAGUCUGACGCUGAGGCGCGAAAGCUAGGGGAGCAAACAGG